UACGAAGGGGGCUAGCGUUGCUCGGAAUCACUGGGCGUAAAGCGCACGUAGGCGGUUUGUUAAGUCAGGGGUGAAAUCCUGGAGCUCAACUCCAGAACUGCCUUUGAUACUGGCGAUCUUGAGUCCGGGAGAGGUGAGUGGAACUCCGAGUGUAGAGGUGAAAUUCGUAGAUAUUCGGAAGAACACCAGUGGCGAAGGCGGCUCACUGGCCCGAUACUGACGCUGAGGCGCGAAAGCGUGGGGAGCAAACAGG
rnacentral:rRNA from 1 species